AGCCCUGCGGUUGCCGAAACGCCAGAUUGCAAAUCUGGAGAAGUAGAUUAAACACCUACUGGGGCUU
rnacentral:tRNA from 1 species